UUCUAGAUGAGUAAGGACAUUUUAAAAGAUGAAAAUUAAUGUGCUGAAGUCUGAGGCAAAACAUAAGGGGUAAGGAUAGCCCAUAACAUUUUGAGAAAGGACAAGGUCAGCCAUGUGAAUUAACAAGGUAGAGAUUUAUGAUGAAGCAUUAAACUUGGCAGGCAAAUAGACUACCUGGAAUCUAUGAUGGUCAAAGGCAGCAGUACUAGGGACUGAUUCAAGACUGAAGGUCUAGUAACUGAAUUAUUGAAUCUAAAUCAAUUCUGAAAAUACCAACGUUGUCAUACUGUGAAAUUACUUUUCUAAAGUUAUUGGAGGCAAGUUUCUCUCUGCUCUGUUAAAGUUUAAACAUAGCUUUCAGAAAAAGAAAAUGAAGAAUAUAUCCUGAGUUUAAUCCCUUACCUAAGACCUAGCUGGUAAUCAUAAUUCUAGGUGGUUAAGGACCAUUGAUACUAAACAUAAAUAAUUUACAUUAUAAUCUUAAAAAAUAUUCCAGGGUUAUUAAAGACAAACUGGACUUGAAUAUAUUCAGUUGAAAAUGUGAUUUAGCUAACAAUAAAAUUAGUAAAACAGAAUCAAUAGUAGAAUAUUCAAUAUUCAUAUAUUAGGAUAGAAAAAUACAAAGAUUCAUAAAUGUGUUUCAGUUUGAAGACAGAAAGUGAGCUGUCACACUCCACAGUACCAGCACCCUUCAUAUAUAUUGGAAACCGUCUUGAGUGAUUAAUUUCAAGCACCUUGGAUCAGCGAGAUGCCACAAGGCAAUAUGAAUUAGCAACUGUGGCCUUAUUUAACACCACCUUCAACCAAGGACUUAACUGCCUCUUAAACAAGACCCCUGCCAAAUCUUCAUGUGGAUUCUACACAAAAGGAAGAAUCAGAUUCAAAAUAAGACAUUAACUGCGAAAUCCAAAAUGGCUGCGCUUACCCUAUUGAUAAAAACAGGUGAGUCUCCAAAAGAUAUAAUCAAUCUUCACAUUUAUUUUAAGUAGUAAAUAAUAUAAAUAAGUAUUGUUAUUCUGAGUGGCAAUUUAAUGCAUGUAUUCGAUUAACAAUUAUAACUUCUGUACAUCCUAAAUGCUUAUGUAGCUUUGUACUUUUUUCUUUUUUUUUUUUUUUUUGCGUGGGGUUAGUUCUCCAUUACAUAAAAAGAGAAUGAAUCAACAUUUUAUUGUGGAACCUGGGAAUCAAAUUUUAAGACUAGAAGGAGGAGAACUUCCUA
rnacentral:lncRNA from 1 species